rnacentral:miRNA from 1 species
GGGAGGCUUCAUGCUGCCUAUCGGAGCAGCCUCCCAACUCCUACAUGCGUGCAAGCAGGAGGGGUCAGGGAUCUCUCAGUUAGGCAAUGGGAAGCCUCCCUUCCCAGCUGAGGGAUCCCUGCCCCCUCCUGCUUACACGCAAGUAGGAGUUGGGAUGGGGCUGCUCCGAAAGGCACUGUGAUACCUCCC